rnacentral:scRNA from 1 species
GUUUGCCGAUACGUGCCGUCCCUGCGCCGACA